rnacentral:rRNA from 1 species
UACGAACGCUGGCGGCGUGCUUAACACAUGCAAGUCGAACGGGCCUGUCUUCUUUUUUGGGGGUGGGUUGAGUGGCGAACGGGUGAGUAUCACGUGAGUAACCUGCCCUUCGGUCCUGGAUAACCGCUUGAAAGGGCGGCUAAUACGGGGUGGUCCGGUUGGUCCGCAUGGGCUGGUCGGGAUAGAUUCACUGUUUUUGGUGUUUCGGCGGGGGAUGGGCUCGCGGCCUAUCAGCUUGUUGGUGGGGUGAUGGCCUACCAAGGCGGUGACGGGUAGCCGGCCUGAGAGGGUGGGCGGCACAACUGGGACUGAGAUACGGCCCAGACUCCUGCGGGAGGCAGCAGUGGGGGGUAUUGCACAAUGGGCGGAAGCCUGAUGCAGCGACGUCGCGUGAGGGAGGGAGGCCUUCGGGUUGUGAACCUCUGUUUCCGGUGGUGAAGGCCCUGUCCGUGUGGUGGGGUUGACGGUAGCCGGGGAUGAAGCGCCGGCUAACUACGUG